rnacentral:rRNA from 1 species
AUUGAACGCUGGCGGAAUGCUUUACACAUGCAAGUCGAACGGCAGCACGGGUGCUUGCACCUGGUGGCGAGUGGCGAACGGGUGAGUAAUGCGUCGGAACGUACCGAGUAAUGGGGGAUAACGCACCGAAAGGUGUGCUAAUACCGCAUACGCCCUGAGGGGGAAAGUGGGGGAUCGCAAGACCUCACGUUAUUCGAGCGGCCGACGUCUGAUUAGCUAGUUGGUGGGGUAAUGGCUCACCAAGGCGACGAUCAGUAGCGGGUCUGAGAGGAUGAUCCGCCACACUGGGACUGAGACACGGCCCAGACUCCUACGGGAGGCAG